CCUACGGGAGGCUGCAGUGGGGAAUAUUGCACAAUGGGGGGAACCCUGAUGCAGCAAUGCCGCGUGGGUGAAGAAGCACUCCGGUGCGUAAAGCCCUGUCAGCAGGGAAGAAAAUGACAGUACCUGGACAAGAAGCCCCGGCUAACUACGUGCCAGCAGCCGCGGUAAUACGUAGGGGGCAAGCGUUAUCCGGAUUUACUGGGUGUAAAGGGAGCGUAGGCCGGCUUUUAAGUCAGCUGUGAAAGUCCGCGGCUCAACCGUGGAAUUGCAGUUGAAACUGGAGGCCUUGAGUGCACACAGGGAUGCCGGAAUUCAUGGUGUAGCGGUGAAAUGCUUAGAUAUCAUGAAGAACUCCGAUCGCGAAGGCAAGUGUCCGGGGUGCAACUGACGCUGAGGCUCGAAAGUGCGGGUAUCAAACAGGAUUAGAUACCCCAGUAGUC
rnacentral:rRNA from 1 species